UACAGGGGGGGCAAGCGUUGUUCGGAAUUACUGGGCGUAAAGCGUGCGUAGGUGGUUUGUUAAGUCUGCUGUGAAAGCCCUGGGCUCAACCUGGGAAUGGCGGUGGAUACUGACAAGCUAGAGUGCGGUAGAGGAGGGUGGAAUUCCCGGUGUAGCGGUGAAAUGCGUAGAGAUCGGGAGGAAUACCGAUGGCGAAGGCAGGUCUCUGGGCUAGUAACUGACGCUCAUGCACGAAAGCGUGGGGAGCAAACAGG
rnacentral:rRNA from 1 species